AGGCCAGCUGCCUAGCGCCAGUGGACUCAGCCUGGAUUUACUCUCUGGGCCAUUAAUAGUCUCACACUCAGUCAGGCUGUGGGAUUUGCCCCGGCACAGAACGGAAUAUUCACUCACGGGGACAGCAUGGCCCCGUUAGGUCAUGAAUGGGGCAUGUGAGUGGGUUUACGGAAAGAAAGAAGACACCUUCGACUGAGACCGGCCAGGAGUCUGCAGCUCUUGAUGAAAUCCUGGAUUCAAGCGAUGGCGAUUGGUGGCGUUGAGAUAAUUAGGUGAGCCGUGAAAGAGGAACCAAGCCAGUCCGUGUGCUGGGAUCUCAUCACACGGGUCACAUCCACGUGACUGGCAUCGCUCUAGCACGAGGAUGAAUCGUAGCACCUCUAACUGUGGAACGACCGAUAUCAUGAGAGGUGAUGCAAGAUGAGGUACCCAGCGCCACCUAGAAAGUGCUGGAGCCAAAACGUAACCCAGAAGUGUGACUACCGUGCUGUGUCUGGAAACUUCUAGAAGGAGAAGCACCCUGUAGAGACAGAGAGAGGCCCACCGUGGAGGAGCCAGCCCCGUGAGUGAUGUUACUGUCUUGGACGUGGACCCUCCAUCCUGGCGGCCUCAGCUGAUGGCUCGAGGGUCCCAGACACACCUCCCGGCUGAGCCCUCCCCAGAUUCCUGGCCCACAGCAUCACGAGCAAAGCAAAAGGGUUGUUUUCAACUGCGGUUUUGGGGAACGUCAUGCAGCCAUAGGUCACUGGAACGUGGCCCUCUCCCCAGGUCCUUGCACAGAGAAGGUGCUGGAACUCUGUCUCGGUUUUGUAUGGCUCCCCGUAGCAGGCGGGGUGUCGUCCCAUCUUCGCCCCACCCCCUUGGGUACCGAGUCUGGUCUUGUUCCCGUGACACGAACCCAAUUGCAAAGCGCAGCCCUUAGCUCUCACGACCAACCUCCCAAAAUGGAUUGUGAACAUUCUGGCCAUUUGGGGAGGGGGGGGCGGUCCCAUCUGAGCUCCCCCAUCCCCCGCCACAUCUCUGCUUCCAGUCUCUCACCUCCUACCCCUCCGAGAAGGUUCUGGAUUCCCAAAUUCUUCUUAUGGAGAAAUCCAGCCCUCCCCGGCCCCUGCAACCUGGCCAAGCGACGGGAGGGUCCAGGCCACACCAGACCCCAGGAAGCCAGCUGGAGAGGCCACCUUCCCCCGACCCACCCAGGCAGGAUGGAGAUGCCAAGACGUGUCACGGACCUCCCGCCCCACCCCGCCC
rnacentral:lncRNA from 1 species